rnacentral:lncRNA from 1 species
GCACCGCCUUCAGAUGCGGCUUACUACGACACUUGGGCAUCGAAGGAGACGUUCACGGCAGGGGACAACCUAGGUAAGUACCUCUCAACCUUCCCUCCUUUUUUUUACUUCGUUGUUGCUCAAGGUGGUCCCUUACACUCUGAUAAAUCCUGAGUAAUGAAAGUACCCUGAUCUUCUCUCGUCCAUUGUCGCAGUAUUCUCAUACACUCCUGGUGCACAUGAUGUGCAAGUCGUAAGUGCGACAGAGUACAAUGCCUGUUCAAUGAGCACCGGCAAGAAGUAUCUAUCCGGAGGGGACAGUGUCUCACUCCCCACGCCUGGUACUUAUUAUUUCGUCUGCAGCUUCCCUUCUCA